rnacentral:rRNA from 1 species
CAGAAUGCUUAACACAUGCAAGUCAUUGGCGAAGCUGCGCUUGCGCAGUCUAGCCAAGGCGGACGGGUGAGUAACGCGUAAGGAACUUGCCCUGCAGACAGGGAUAACAGACGGAAACGACUGAUAACACCUGGUAUUGUCAGGCUGGCGCAUGCCGGCCUGAUGAAAGGAGACGCUGCAGGAGAGCCUUGCGUCCUAUUAGCUAGUUGGUGGGGUAACGGCCCACCAAGGCGACGAUAGGUAGCCGGCCUGAGAGGGUGAACGGCCACAAGGGGACUGAGAUACGGCCCUUACUCCUACGGGAGGCAGCAGUGGGGAAUAUUGGACAAUGGGGGCAACCCUGAUCCAGCAAUUCUGUGUGCACGAAGAAGGUUUUCGGAUUGUAAAGUGCUUUCAGCAGGGAAGAAGAAAGUGACGGUACCUGCAGAAGAAGCGACGGCUAAAUACGUGCCAGCAGCCGCGGUAAUACGUAUGUCGCAAGCGUUAUCCGGAAUUAUUGGGCAUAAAGGGCAUCUAGGCGGCCCUGUAAGUCUAGGGUGAAAACCUGCGGCUCAACCGCAGGCCUGCCCCGGAAACUACAGGGCUGGAGUAUCGGAGAGGUGGACGGAACUGCACGAGUAGAGGUGAAAUUCGUAGAUAUGUGCAGGAAUGCCGAUGAUGAAGAUAGUUCACUGGACGGCAACUGACGCUGAAGUGCGAAAGCUAGGGGAGCAAACAGGAUUAGAUACCCUGGUAGUCCUAGCUGUAAACGAUGAUUACUGGGUGUGGGCAUGAAGAGUGUCCGUG